rnacentral:lncRNA from 1 species
UGAUCAAUAUAUUCUGAAACGUCGACAACCUGAGUGACAUGGACUUUUUUAACCGUAACACGUAAGCUGUACCAAAACAUACUUUAACUCGCUGGUAGCAUUAUCCUGCAAAAUUACAAAAAUACGUGUACACUGAGAAAAAUUUCAAACUAACGAACAUCAACUUUGAACAUAAUCUAACUUAUAUUUGGUGUGAUCAGAUCCUCUUCUACGUGUUAAUUUGUACUCUUUUCGAAACCUUUGAGAGUUUCCGAAGGCAACAGGUUCUUUAUAGUAAUGUAACCGCGAAAGAAACAUAAGUUAGGCUACACUCAAAAGAAAAACGAGUAGCGUCUCAGUGUAUGUAGGUGACUUUCGACAGCAAACAUCAAAAAUUGAGUUUAUUCUAAUGGCAGUAUGA